UAUGUAUAUGUGUGUGUGUGUGUGUGUGUGUAUAUAUAUAUAUAUAUAUAUAUCUAUAUAUACACACACACACACACACACACACACACACACACACACACAUAUAUAAA